rnacentral:rRNA from 1 species
AAACCAGCACCUCAAGUGGUCAGGAUGAUUAUUGGGCCUAAAGCAUCCGUAGCCGGCUCUGUAAGUUUUCGGUUAAAUCUGUACGCUCAACGUACAGGCUGCUGGGAAUACUGCAGGGCUAGGGAGUGGGAGAGAUAGACGGUACUCGGGAGGAAGUGGUAAAAUGCUUUGAUCUCUCGAUGACCACCUGUGGCGAAGGCGGUCUACCAGAACACGUUCGACGGUGAGGGAUGAAAGCUGGGGGAGCAAACCGGAUUAGAAACCCGAGUAGUCC